GACGUAGGAGGCGAGCGUUGUCCGGAUUCAUUGGGCGUAAAGAGCACGCAGGCGGUUUGGCAAGUCGGAUGUGAAAACCCGGAGCUCAACUCCGGACCUGCAUCCGAAACUGCCCGACUAGAGGUAGGUAGGGGAGAUCGGAAUUCCUGGUGUAGCGGUGAAAUGCGCAGAUAUCAGGAGGAACACCGGUGGCGAAGGCGGGUCUCUGGGCCGAUACUGACGCUGAGGAGCGAAAGCGUGGGGAGCGAACAGG
rnacentral:rRNA from 1 species